rnacentral:rRNA from 1 species
GUUGUAUGGUUAAGUGACUAAGCGUACACGGUGGAUGCCUUGGCAGUCAGAGGCGAUGAAAGACGUAGUAACUUGCGAUAAGCCCAGAUUAGGUAGUAACAACCAUUUGAGUCUGGGAUUUCUGAAUGGGGAAACCCACGUGCAUAAGCACGUAUUCUUACCUGAAUACAUAGGGUAAGGAGGCGAACCGGGGGAACUGAAACAUCUAAGUACCCCGAGGAAAAGAAAUCAACCGAGAUUCCGAAAGUAGCGGCGAGCGAAAUUGGACUAGCCCUUAAGCUUUACACGCGUUAGACGAACGGUCUGGAAAGUCCGACGAUACAGGGUGAUAGUCCCGUAGUUGACGACGUGUGUUCAGUGAAAUCGAGUAGGGCGGGACACGUGAUAUCCUGUCUGAAUAUGGGGGGACCAUCCUCCAAGGCUAAAUACUACUGACUGACCGAUAGUGAACCAGUACCGUGAGGGAAAGGCGAAAAGAACCCCUGUGAGGGGAGUGAAAUAGAACCUGAAACCGUGUACGUACAAGCAGUAGGAGCAGGCUUGUCCUGUGACUGCGUACCUUUUGUAUAAUGGGUCAGCGACUUAUAUUCAGUGGCAAGGUUAACCAUCUAGGGGAGCCGUAGGGAAACCGAGUCUUAACUGGGCGUUCAGUCUCUGGAUAUAGACCCGAAACCAGGUGAUCUAGCCAUGGGCAGGUUGAAGGUUGAGUAACAUCAACUGGAGGACCGAACCGACUAAUGUUGAAAAAUUAGCGGAUGACUUGUGGCUAGGGGUGAAAGGCCAAUCAAACCUGGAGAUAGCUGGUUCUCCCCGAAAGCUAUUUAGGUAGCGCCUCGGACGAAUACUACUGGGGGUAGAGCACUGUUAAGGCUAGGGGGUCAUCCCGACUUACCAACCCUUUGCAAACUCCGAAUACCAGUAAGUACUAUCCGGGAGACACACGGCGGGUGCUAACGUCCGUCGUGGAGAGGGAAACAACCCAGACCGCCAGCUAAGGUCCCAAAUUACUACUAAGUGGGAAACGAUGUGGGAAGGCUCAGACAGCCAGGAUGUUGGCUUAGAAGCAGCCAUCAUUUAAAGAAAGCGUAAUAGCUCACUGGUCGAGUCGGCCUGCGCGGAAGAUGUAACGGGGCUAAGUAGUAAACCGAAGCUGCGGCAAUAUACUUUUGUAUAUUGGGUAGGGGAGCGUUCUGUAAGCGGUUGAAGGUGUGUGGUAACGCAUGCUGGACGUAUCAGAAGUGCGAAUGCUGACAUGAGUAACGAUAAAGGGGGUGAAAAACCUCCUCGCCGGAAGACCAAGGGUUCCUGUCCAACGUUAAUCGGGGCAGGGUAAGUCGACCCCUAAGGCGAGGCCGAAAGGCGUAGUCGAUGGGAAACGGGUUAAUAUUCCCGUACUUCUUACAAUUGCGAUGGGGGGACGGAGAAGGCUAGGUGGGCCUGGCGACGGUUGUCCAGGUUCAAGUGCGUAGGCUU